GUUUAAUUUAAAAUGUUCUGAGCUCAUCAAAACAGUCAAUGUCACUCUCGAUUGAAGAAAAUGUGUAAAUCGUUACAUACAAGUUCUUUUCCAACCUAUUCUCUCUUUAGCAAUAUAUAGAAUAUAUAAACAAAGAAGAAGAAACAACAAAAUUCACCUUUAACGAUUUUCAUUUUUAUUUCGAUACAACUCAGAAAAUUAUUCAAGAAAAGGAUUGUAGCCUAGUUUUGAUAUAAAUCAUGGAGCAAUGCAGGCACAAGCUAGAGGCACUGCUUUUCCAGGUCGAAGACACUUGCCUCCCCUCUCAUAUUCUUUUUCUAUACAAGUCAAAUAUGUUUGUGAGCAUAAGAUUGCAUAGAACCCAAAUGAAACCUCUUAAUAGAAGGUUUUAAGCUCCCUCCCUCACGGUUAAUUUAUCACUUGACCUCGAUGUCAUAUAUAUAGUCCCAACCAAAAAAUCAUACAAUUAUACUUGUUUUAACGUGGCUGUCUACAUAAAUAACAUAGGCACAUUUAUAAAUUACUAGAGAAGCUACUUGCCUGUACCCCUCUUUGAACGCAUUUAGAGCACCUCUCCAAUCACCAACAGAAUCCAAAACAUCUCCAAUACUUUUUUGCAUUCCUAACUGAGUUGUGGUCACCAUCAGAUAAAAACAUAUCAUGGUAAGUUCGACCAAGCUGAGUGAUGGCUCUUUGUUGCUCAAUGAGGUCAUCUGCAUCCUUAGCAAGCUCUAAAUGCUUUUUCUGCCAGGUUUAAACAAUGGAAAUUCAGCAUGGUAUUAUUGAAGUGCAGAAACUGAACAUUUAAAAAAACAUAGAGAGAUUUCU
rnacentral:lncRNA from 1 species